GGAUCCAGACUUUGAUUAUGGCUCAGGAUGAACGCUAGCUACAGGCUUAACACAUGCAAGUCGAGGGGCAGCGGGAUUGAAGCUUGCUUCAAUUGCCGGCGACCGGCGCACGGGUGAGUAACGCGUAUCCAACCUUCCGUACACUCAGGGAUAGCCUUUCGAAAGAAAGAUUAAUACCUGAUGGUAUGAUGAGAUUGCAUGAUAGCAUCAUUAAAGAUUUAUCGGUGUACGAUGGGGAUGCGUUCCAUUAGGUAGUAGGCGGGGUAACGGCCCACCUAGCCAACGAUGGAUAGGGGUUCUGAGAGGAAGGUCCCCCACAUUGGAACUGAGACACGGUCCAAACUCCUACGGGAGGCAGCAGUGAGGAAUAUUGGUCAAUGGACGAGAGUCUGAACCAGCCAAGUAGCGUGAAGGAUGAAGGUCCUACGGAUUGUAAACUUCUUUUAUAAGGGAAUAAACCCUCCCACGUGUGGGAGCUUGUAUGUACCUUAUGAAUAAGUAUCGGCUAACUCCGUGCCAGCAGCCGCGGUAAUACGGAGGAUGCGAGCGUUAUCCGGAUUUAUUGGGUUUAAAGGGAGCGCAGACGGGUCGUUAAGUCAGCUGUGAAAGUUUGGGGCUCAACCUUAAAAUUGCAGUUGAUACUGGCGUCCUUGAGUGCGGUUGAGGUGUGCGGAAUUCGUGGUGUAGCGGUGAAAUGCUUAGAUAUCACGAAGAACUCCGAUUGCGAAGGCAGCACACUAAUCCGUAACUGACGUUCAUGCUCGAAAGUGUGGGUAUCAAACAGGAUUAGAUACCCUGGUAGUCCACACGGUAAACGAUGGAUACUCGCUGUUGGCGAUAUACUGUCAGCGGCUUAGCGAAAGCGUUAAGUAUCCCACCUGGGGAGUACGCCGGCAACGGUGCAACUCAAAGGAAUUGACGG
rnacentral:rRNA from 1 species